rnacentral:tRNA from 1 species
GCGGACGUCGUCUAAGUCGGAUACUGGGGCACCACCCCGGAGAUGGAGGUUCAAGUCCUCCCGACCGCUCCA